rnacentral:rRNA from 1 species
AACGCGAAGAACCUUACCAGGUCUUGACAUCCUCUGACAACCCUAGAGAUAGGGCUUCCCCUUCAGGGGCAGAGUGACAGGUGGUGCAUGGUUGUCGUCAGCUCGUGUCGUGAGCUGUUGGGUUAAGUCCCGCAACGAGCGCAACCCUUGAUCUUAGUUGCCAGCAUUCAGUUGGGCACUCUAAGGUGACUGCCGGUGACAAACCGGAGGAAGGUGGGGAUGACGUCAAAUCAUCAUGCCCCUUAUGACCUGGGCUACACACGUGCUACAAUGGGCAGAACAAAGGGCAGCGAAGCCGCGAGGCUAAGCCAAUCCCACAAAUCUGUUCUCAGUUCGGAUCGCAGUCUGCAACUCGACUGCGUGAAGCUGGAAUCGCUAGUAAUCGCGGAUCAGCAUGCCGCGGUGAAUACGUUCCCGGGCCUUUACACACCG